rnacentral:rRNA from 1 species
CUACGGGCGGCUGCAGUGAGGAAUUUUGCGCAAUGGGGGAAACCCUGACGCAGCAACGCCGCGUGAGCGAAGAAGGCCUUCGGGUCGUAAAGCUCUGUCAAGUGGGAAAAAAAUCUUUUGAUCAAUAGCCAAAAGACUUGAUGGUACCACUGGAGAAAGCACCGGCUAACUCCGUGCCAGCAGCCGCGGUAAUACGGAGGGUGCAAGCGUUGUUCGGAUUUACUGGGCGUAAAGAGCGUGUAGGCGGUUUAGCAAGUCAGAUGUGAAAGCCCUGGGCUCAACCCGGGAAGUGCAUUUGAACUGCUUCACUAGAGUAUGGGAGAGGAGAUUGGAAUUCCUGGUGUAGAGGUGAAAUUCGUAGAUAUCAGGAGGAACACCCGUGGCGAAGGCGAUUCUCUGGACCAAUACUGACGCUGAGACGCGAAAGCGUGGGGAGCAAACAGGAUUAGAUACCCGUGUAGUC